GAAGGACAAAAGAGCCCGACAGAGAGCUCGGUUCUUCGGCGUUUCGGGGAGGAAACGCCCGCUUGGAUCGAAUGAUCGCAAAACAGCCGGACCCGCCGCGAUUAUCCCCCGCGGCGGGUUUGGCGUUUUAAG
rnacentral:sRNA from 1 species